rnacentral:lncRNA from 1 species
UUUAUUUACAAACUUAUCAUGAGUUCAAUAUGAUUGGUGGCUCGUUAUUGGUUGUCACACGCCUAGCAGGGACACUCUCUAGGUGGUAUUUUGGGGGUGUGACAACUAUAACCCGUGACUCGUAACGACACUACACUCCAAGUGCAAGGCUCGACACAUUUGACCUCAUAGCUCGGACCAGUGUUUACUUGUUUGCUUUAUGUUUCCUGUUAUGCUAUACGUACUAGUGUGCCUAAACUAGAUAGAUACACCUCUCUCUCCUAUCUCAUUCUCGCUACCUUACGGCAUCACACUCAUACUGUGUUUUCUGGUUAUGAAGACAAUGAGUGGACGCGGAAGAGGAAACAUUAACAUGACGCAGGCUCAGUUCACUAACCUGCUCAACACAGUGGCUGCGGCUUUUGCAGCUCACCCUUUAGGUAAGCUCGUUGUUUUAGGAUGUUUAGGUCCUACCGCCACAUCGACUUUUCGCCUCUAAACCUAUACGUUUCGCUUCUCACCCUAUAGGUCAGCAUGCACCUGCGCAACCACCAGUGUGUACUUUCAAAACUUUCAUGGAUUGCAAGCCUCUCCCUUUCAACGGCACUGAGGGUGCCAUAGGUCUUCUGCAUUGGAUUGAGAAAAUUGAAGCUGUUUUUGCUGUUUGCGAGUGUCCCCCUGCGAACUGGGUGAAGUUUGCUACUGCUACGCUUGAAGGAAGCGCGCUUUCUUGGUGGAAGGCGCAGAUUCAGAUGUUUGGUUUGGAAACUGCAAAUGCUACGGCAUGGGAGGAUUUCAAGGAUAUGAUUAAGGACGAAUACUGUCACCGGGAUGACAUCCACAAGCUUGAGAAUGAGUACUAUGAACUCAAGAU